rnacentral:rRNA from 1 species
UACGUAGGGGGCAAGCGUUGUCCGGAUUUAUUGGGCGUAAAGAGCGUGUAGGCGGCUAGGUAGGUCCGUUGUGAAAACUCGAGGCUCAACCUCGAGACGCCGAUGGAAACCAUCUAGCUAGAGUCCGGAAGAGGAGAGUGGAAUUCCUGGUGUAGCGGUGAAAUGCGCAGAUAUCAGGAGGAACACCAAUUGCGAAGGCAGCUCGCUGGGACGCUACUGACGCUGAGACGCGAAAGCGUGGGGAGCAAACAGG